rnacentral:sRNA from 1 species
CCACGAUCCGUAACCUCGAUUUCCUGGAGAUGUGGAGGCCUUUUCUUCAGCCUUACCAUCUGAUUAUCGUCCAAGAUGGAGAUCCAUCGAAGACCAUUGCUGUCCCUGAAGGGUUCGAUUACGAACUCUACAACAGGAACGACAUCAACCGUAUCCUUGGUCCUAAAGCUUCCUGCAUUUCCUUCAAGGACUCUGCUUGUCGUUGCUUCGGCUACAUGGUCUCCA